rnacentral:lncRNA from 1 species
GACCUGCUUGUGUUGGGACAGAAGAGUGGUGAGAAAGACCUCCUCGGAGGCCUGGGGCAUGUGUGAUGCUCCAGUGAAAACAACAGAAUCAGGGUGUGAGCAGGCAUCUCCGUGGAUUUGCCAGACGCAAUUUACCAAUCUUCUCAGCACAGACUCUUACAAAGACUGCAUUCCUGACUAUGUCACAGAGCCCAGGAGGGCAGGCAGAAAGCAUAAACCACCCGUGUGAGCAGAGGAAAGUGGCGUGGAGAAGUCGUGUAAGAACCCUUUAAUGGAUAUGUAAAUGGCAUCAGUGAGGGAGACUAAAUGGCAGUGGAGUGUUGCUUAGAGGCGUUUUAUGCAUUUUAUGAUGUUUUGUGCAUUUGAAAAUACUGGUAACAGGAAGAGAGGGACCCUAUCACAAUUCUGGUCUCUCAUUAUUUGUACAUAAUAAGCAUAUCCAUUAUCGUUAUUUAGACCACUUGCUAGUCUGAAUUUUUCCAGAAAUGAUGUUUUCCCAGAAUGUCUAGGACUUCCUCUCUCAUACUGAGUUGUUGAGCUUGGAGUCUGCUGCAGGUUAGAGUCUGAAGCCAAAUUUGUCACGAGGUGUCUCAGCCAGAAUACUGAGCUGCUCAGGGUCACCUGCCCAGGAAAGCAGCCAGGGAAUUCCUGGGCAUUGAGACCACACGGGAACGUGAGCAUCUAUUGCUAGAGAGCUGUGCAGUGUGGGACAGGCAGUCCGAAGAUUUUUGAAAGAAGCAGCUGCACACAUUGUCUGUUUCACCACUCAUGGGCAGGUGGAAAGCUGAGCCUGGAGAGUCUUAGGAACCUAUUCUGGUAACGUGAGCGAUGGGAGUGCACCGGAGUGUGUGAGUUUGCCGGUGGAUUUGCAGAGGGCUGGCGAGCCAGGCCUGGAGCUGGCAGGCGUGAGGGGCUCCCUGGAAAAGACGAACCCAUCUCCCCCACUUCGCUGUGUCACACCAGGUGUCCACUAGAGUUGCCAACUGUGACAGUGUCCGGAGGUUCUCUGGCUGGGGCUCUGAAAGAGACUGACAAAGGCAGAUUAACGAGAGAAAAACAGACACGAGUUUAUUACCACGUGCAUCACGCACACCCAUGGGAACGUCCGCAGCCUGACUCCAUUUGUCCCACUUUCCAAUAUUCCAUGUGGAUAGCCUAGAACCAUCUAAGAGAUAAGGCACCCAGAUCGCAAACCACAGGACUCGGAAUUCUCUGCUUGUCUCCUAAUUAGAAGCCAUUGAAGAGUCAGUGGACUGAAUACAAAUUAACCAUUAGAUCAACUGAAAAUGUCAAGUUUAGAUGAAUCUGAGUUCUCAUUUAGAUAUUUUCUGGCUGUUGGCCCAGCCCCACAAAUAAAUACACAUUUGAAAGUUAUCCUGUUACUUUGAUAAAAGAAUUUGGUCUCUUACAAAUGAUAAUUCAGCUCUCAAUGUGGCUUAGGUGAACAUAGUUUUGGAUUUCUUCAAGUAAGAUAUAUGAGCACAGUGUGUAUUAUCUUUACAACAGAUAUCCAUAAUAAUUAUAGUAACAAAGCCAUCUUUCUAUAUUUCUUUAAAGUUUGUUUUUUCCUUUUAAGCUCCAUCCCAGGAAUUUGGGCUGUAAUUCAGGGACUUGUAGAACCUCACAGUGAGAGAGGAGUGAAGUCCUGUCUGCUUGGAUUUAUUGCUGUCUUGAUUAAUGAGAAUUGCUAGCUUUUCCUUACUUUUGGAAGGAGGCUGGGAAAUGCAAACUUCCCACCUGCCCUUGAAGGAGAAAGGAAUCUGGACUGGAUACAAAGAAGCUGGUGAGGAGCAUUUAUCCUGCAGUCCCUGCUAGGUGCAGGGUGCUGGAGCCUGGAGACCGGAGACAGGGGCAGCACCCCGAUGGUCGUAUACCUGCCAGCCCUGCUGGAGGGGGCGAUUAGGGCAGAAGUCUUUCCACUGAGAAGCGGACUGUGCACUGUUGUGGACUGAGCUGAUAGGUACCGAGCUUUUGGACACUGUGCUGCUGGAGCAGGGUGGGGGAUACAGGGGGAGUGAAAGGAACCAGCCCCCUCAGCAGGCCUGGAAAGACGAGGUGGGUGCCCAGACCCAGUAGGUUGUUGCUCUGCUGGCCCAUACUGUAGCAGUGACUUGGCUUGGUAGACCUGGGAGGCCAUUGUGUUUUUAUACUUACCACAAUUCAUGCAUGGUCUGCCCAAUGUGUGGGGUUAGUUCUGCCCGUUGAUUCUCUUCCUCUUGUUUCAUGGUACCCUUACUGUAAGGGGAGUGACCAGAACUGGCCACACAGUGGGCAUCUUCUAGGCACUGUCCUGGCCAGGAGGACAAGGCCGCCUUUUGCACUGGUUCCCCUGUCAGGUCAGGCCUUGGCCCACCACCUGUGCCUUCCAUGUCCUCCUUCCUGUACACUCACGCACCCCUCCCCUGGUAACCAUGUUGCCUUUACACCCAUGAGCCCUGCUGUGGUGCCCUUGCCAGGCACAGUGAGAAACACAAGGGUGACCUGUAGACGAACUGGGCUGAUAUGGGUGGAUCAAGGCCCAGAGCUGUUGUAUAGACGCGUCAGAAAUACAUGCGUAUGAGAAGGGAGAGUAAUGAGAAGAACCUCAUUCACUGGCGAGUGGGGAGGAAGGUGCUGGCAAGAGCCUGGUAUGGAGCUCAGACUAGAGGUGGACCAGCCUUGUCUUUAGAGCUGUAUGAAAGCUCGAAAGCUGCCCCCACCCCAACUCAUUCACCCAGUCACAAAGAUAGGUGACCUGUCAUCAGAUGGCUUCUGUUUCCCGCUAACAGUCUAGUAACACAGAUGAGCCCAUUCUCCUUAGCACCAUUCUCUCCACCACCAACACUUACUGGUCACCUCUGGAUACUGGAAGGAAGAGGUGAACUGGAAAGACAAGACCACUCUCUGCCCUCAAGAUGGGGCUGUGUCUAGCUAAGUGAGAUGUGUGUGUGUGUGUGUGUGUGUGUGUGUGUGUGUAUACACAUAUAUGUAUAAAGACAACCAUAUUUAUUUGUCUAUAUGGGACUACAUCUCUGCAUAAACACUACCAUAUGCAGGCUCUGAGGUCAAAGUUCAUCCUUACCUCAGCUAGACAGGAGGAUCCAGCAUUUUCUAAUUAAUAAAAUACCUCACAGCUUUCCUUAUCCUGCUGUAGUUGGACAUGGAAUUCUUUUGGUUAUUCUGCUUAGGAAAAGUAGCCUCUGCAUUAAAUGCCAAGCUCUGUAGGGGAGCAAAGCCUAUGCUUUGCUUAACACAUAGAAUGGAAUUGCAUUAAUGUGAGAAAGCAUUUCGAAAAUGAUGGAGUCUGUAGAGAUGCUAGGAAUUGUUUUCAUGAUCAUUACCUGAAGCUUCAUCCUAAAAUGUGCUGACUCUUAAUUUAAGUAUAUGCAACCCAAAGUUAUCUAGGCCUGUCAGCCUCAGCCUUAAGCUCUAGUCUUAGCACUGUGAUGCAUGAAGAGAAAUGUAAUUUCUACUCCAAAAGUGUUUUAAGAUAACAUAAGAUUGGCCGAGCGCAGUGGCUCACGCCUGUAAUCCCAGCACUUUGGGAGGCAGAGGCAGGAGGAUAACGAGGUCAGGAGAUCGAGACCAUCCUGGCUAACAUGAUGAAACUCUGUCUCUACUAAAAAUACAAAAAAAAAAAAAAAAAAAUUAGCCGGGCAUGGUGGCAGGAACCUGUAGUCCCAGCUACUCAGGAGGCUGAGGCAGGAGAAUGGCGUGAACUUGGGAGGCGGAACUUGCAGUGAGCCGAGAUCGCACCACUGCAUUCCAGCCUGGGUGACAGAGUGAGACUCUGUCUCAAAAAAAAAAAGAAAAAAAAAAGAUAACAUAAGACUUUAAUUAAGUCUUUGGAGGGCUGGCAUAUCAGGGGUGCGACACACAGCAGAAGAUUUCCAAAAAUCCUCACACAUGUGCGCCACUGUCCUUGUCAGCAUGGCCUUCUCCUCACCCUUUCAUGGGCCACAGUCCCUCUUCUGGCCUCCCCUAAAAGCUCUGGCAGGCCCUCUUUCAUGACCACUUCCCAUCUACCUCUUCUUAUAG